GCGGAGCCCGGAGCCCGGAGCAGCCCGGCCGCUGGUGAUGGUGGUGCUGCUGCAAACCCAGCCGUAGCUGAGCAAAUUAGGCUGGGCUGGGCCACUCCGGUGCCCGCAGACAACGAUCAGGUCUGUCCGAAGUUUUUCCAAGAUUCUUAAUGCUCAGGUCACAUAGAUGAAGCCAGCAAAGAAACAGCAGUUGUUUUGACAGAAUGCUUUUUGACAGUUGGGAUGCUUUGACAGUACUUUCCAAACCCAUGGUCCACAUCACUAAGAAGGUCCAAGCCUUGCAAGCACCCGUCUUGGAAAGAUAAUGCCAUUCCUUUACCAUUGUCGCAUCUAAAUCCUAGAGCCUCUUACCAAAAACACUGGGAAGUACAUUCAUUCUGAGCACUUUAGUGGCUCAAGAAAGUGGUUCAUCAGUAUCUUUGAGUAUUAGGGGAUGUGCAAUAAAUGUUGACCAAACUGGCAACAUCCAGGUUGUGUAAAACAUAUGUUAGAGAAAAAUAAAUCACAAAUAGCACAGACUGUACAAGGACAAUGGACGAAAACGAAAGUCAUGUGAAUUAUUUUAAGUGUCCAACGAUCAGUCAAUGAUUAAGAAGGAACUGCAGAUGCUGGAAAAUCAAUCAACAUUUUAUAUUCUUGCCAGGCAACCAGACAAUGAAGAACCCUCAUGACCAGCUUGCCUUAAUGAAAGUGUAUGGUCACCAUCUUCAAAAUGUAAUCUAUCUAACAGUCAUUCCAAUAUGUCAGAUUCUGAAUCAUCUGAAUUCUGAAUUUUGCUUAAAUUUUGCAUAAAAUGCUUAAUUAAAGUGUCUCGACCCGAAACGUCGCCUAUUUCCUUCGCUCCAUAGAUGCUGCCUCACCCGCUGAGUUUCUACAGCAUUUUUGUCUACCAUGAAUCUCAAUGAGGUUCUAUCAUUGCACAGAUAAAAUCUCAGAAGGCUCGUUUGGAAUUAAUUGAAAGUCACCACAUCAGCAAAAAAUCACUUAAACUGGAAUGUUCAAGCACAACACUUCACAGUGCAUUCAGCUUCUAUUCAUUGGGCAAGUACCAAACAUCUUUAUUCCAUGUGUUGAAUGGUGAAUUCCUCAGCAACAAAACAGUGCAGUGAAACUUGUGGAGCAACAGUGAAACGCGGACAGUAAUUUCUGCACUUAUCUGUGCAUAUGCAGGACACUGGAAGUUGCCAUCUGGUUUACUUGCUAAUAACGGUGAAAAGUGAUAGUCUCAUAGUCUUUAUGACUACAAAUUCUUGCCUAUUAACUGUCAACCACAAAAGAACAGCUUUUAAUUCGCACACUCGCUGAAAGAGAACAGGCUAGAUGGAUUUUAUAUUCUUGCUAGGCAACCAGAAAAUGCAGAACCCUCAUGACCAGUUUGCCUUUAUGAAAGUUUAUGGUCACCAUCUUCGAAAUGUAAUCCAUCUAACAGUCAUUCCAAUAUGUCAGAUUCUGAAUCAUCCACUUCUAUUUGUUAUGCUUAAAUUUUGCAUCAAAUGCUUAAUUAAAAAUAUACAUGUAUUUUAAUGGAAGCUAUAAUAUUGGUUAGUUUUCUGCUUGAAUAAUAUCAGAAAUUUGACUGCAGAUAUUGGUGAGACACAGUGAGAGAAAGGCUAAGUAAGUUGUAACCAACUGACAUCUGAAAUAAAAGUAGAUGGCUGUGUGGAGCCAAUGCCAGUUUGUGACCGUGUCACUUUUAUACCUGCAUAUAGGGAGAUGGGGUGUAAAUCUCAAUUUCUGCAGCUCACUCUAUAGAUUUUACAGUGUAAUAUAAGGAAUGAGAAAUUUAAGAAGGAAUUAUGGGAGAUUUCUACAGACAAACCAGGAAGUUUGGAUACAGAGAAUUGCAAUGUCUAAACCUGGCAUAAAGGUCUCCUGCUCGAAGUCUAGAAUGCAUUGUUUUACUUGUGCUACUGCCGAAUGGCAUUGUCACCAUUAAGGGUCAAGAUUGAAUCAUUCUGCUUCUGCGUUAAUUGACACAAACCGAAGAAACAGCCAACAUUUUACCUCCAGUAGCAAUUGUUAUCAUCCUUCAACUUGAGAUCUGUAAAUAGUCUUCUCAAAUCUGAUUUUUGGGUUAUCUCAUAAUUUCUACUUGGAAAAAAAUCACAAUUUUUGCUACUGUUUCCCAUUAAAGAGUAUUCUGUCCGUUUUCUCUGUACCUUUUGAUGUCAUUUUUUUCUAAUUGGAAAAUAAACAUGCAUAUGCCAUG